UGGGGAAUCUUGGACAAUGGGGGAAACCCUGAUCCAGCCAUGCCGCGUGAGUGAUGAAGGCCCUAGGGUUGUAAAACUCUUUCGGCGGGGACGAUAAUGACGGUACCCGCAGAAGAAGCUCCGGCUAACUUCGUGCCAGCAGCCGCGGUAAUACGAAGGGGGCUAGCGUUGUUCGGAAUUACUGGGCGUAAAGCGCGCGCAGGCGGUCCUUCAAGUCAGAGGUGAAAGCCCAGGGCUCAACCCUGGAACUGCCUUUGAAACUGGAGGACUUGGGUACGGGAGAGGUGAGUGGAAUUCCGAGUGUAGAGGUGAAAUUCGUAGAUAUUCGGAAGAACACCAGUGGCGAAGGCGACUCACUGGACAUGUAUUGACGCUGAGGUGCGAAAGCGUGGGGAGCAAA
rnacentral:rRNA from 1 species